AGUGAACGCUGGCGGUAUGCCUAACACAUGCAAGUCGAACGGCCGCACAGUAAGAGUUCGCCCCUACCGGUGGCGAGUGGCGGGCGGGUGAGGAAUACAUAGGCAUCUUCUUUUUCUGGGGGGAUUACGGAGGGCCACAUACGCUACUACCGAAUAUGAUGUACCGGAGAAUGCAGUGGUUCUUCGGAGUUUUCGCGUUACUAUUAGAUGGCGCCGCAUUAGCUAGUCGGCGGGGUAAAGGCACACCAAGGCAACGAUCCGUAGCCGAGCUGAGAGGAUGAUCGGCCACACUGGAACUGAGACACGGUCCAGACUCCUACGGGAGGCAGCAGUAGGGAAUAUUCCGCAAUGGGCGCAAGCCUGAUCCAGCCAUGCCGCGUGAGUGAUGAAGGUCUUCGGAUUGUAAAACUCUGUUAUUAGGAAAGAAAAACAGCAGAUGAAUACCCCGCCGUUCUGACGGUACCCAAAGAGUAAGCACCGGCUAACUUCGUG
rnacentral:rRNA from 1 species